rnacentral:rRNA from 1 species
UACAUGGGGUGCAAACGUUGCUCGGAAUUAUUGGGCGUAAAGCGCGCGUAGGCGGUUACUUAAGUCGGAUGUGAAAGCCCUCGGCUUAACUGAGGAAGUGCACCCGAAACUGAGUAGCUAGAGUACGAAAGAGGGUCGCGGAAUUCCCGGUGUAGAGGUGAAAUUCGUAGAUAUCAGGAGGAACACCGGUGGCGAAGGCGGCCACCUGGACGAUUACUGACGCUGAGACGCGAAAGCGUGGGGAGCAAACAGG